AUGUAUGUUUUCAUUCAGGUGGCAUCACCCUCUGUCUCCCCCACCUCUAGCCCCUCCUCCACCAACACCCCCAGCCCCCCCUGUAUCAUCCUGCGUUGUCUGGCCCCCAGUGGGCAGCAUGUAGAGGAGGUAAAGGUACCAGAGCUAGCCUACACCUCCCUCUUCACCAUGGCCUGGCUCCACUCAGGUAAACUGCACUCAUUGGACACUGCAUGUAACUGCCCUCUGCUUCAGCUCCUCCAACGUGUGUGUGUGUGUGUGUGUGUGUGUGUGUGUGUGUGUGUGUGUGUGUGUGUGUGUGUGUGUGUGUGUGUGUGUGUGUGUGUGUGUGUGUGUGUGUGUGUGUGUGUGUGUGUGUGUGUGUGUGUGGUUAUUCGGCGGGGUUAAUGCAGGGAUCAUCAACUAGAUUCAGCCGCGGGACGGUUUUGUUCUGGAGCGGCUGGCCGAGGGCCCGGAAACAUAAUUACAAAUCAUUUGUAGACUGCAAAUUGACCGCAAGAAUAUCAAACAGAUAUAAAACAUAUUCAUUUUCAAACAUUGCAUACAUUUGUAUACGAUCACAUAUACAGUGCCUUCGGAAAGUAUUCAGACCCCUUGACCUAUUCCACAUUUUGUUACGUUACAGCCUUAUUCCAAAAUCAGUUAAAUAAAAAAGAAAUCCUCAGCAAUCUAAACACAAUACCCCAUAAUGACAUCACAAUACCCCAUAAUGACAUCACAAUACCCCAUAAUGACAUCACAAUACCCCAUAAUGACAAAGCAAAAACAGGUUUUUAGACAUUUUUGCAAACGUAUUAAAGAUAAAAAACAGAAAUACCUUAUUUAUGUAAGUAUUCAGACCCUUUGCUACAUUGAGCUCAGGUGCAUCCUGUUAACAUUGAUCAUCCUUGAGAUGUUUCUACUUGAUUGGAGUCCACCUGUGGUAAAUCAAAUUGAUUGGACAUGAUUUGGAAAGGCACACACCUGUCUUUAUAAGGUACCACAGUUGACAGUGCAAAAGAGCAAGGCCUUGGUCAGGGAGGUGAACAAGAACCCGUUGGUCACUCUGACAGAGCUCCAGAGUUCCUCUGUGGAGAUGGGAGAACAUUGCAGAAGGACAACCAUCUCUGCAGCACUCCACCAAUCAGGCCUUUAUGGUAGAGUGGCCAGAUGGAAGCCACUCCUCAGUAAAGGGCAUAUGACAGCCCGCUUGGAGUUUGCCGAAAGGCACCUAAAGAGUCUCAGAUGUGGUGGCAGCAUCAUGCUGUGGGGGUGUUUUUCAGUGGCAGGGACUGGGAGACUAAUCAGGAUCGAGGCAAUGAUUAACGAAGCAAAGUACUGAGAGAUUCUUGAUGAAAACCCGCUCCAGAGCGCUCAGGACCUCAGAUUGGGGCGAAGGUUCACCUUCCAACAGGACAAUGACCCUAAGCACACAGCCAAUACAAUACAGGAGUGGCUUCAGGACGAGUCUCAAAAUGUCCUUGAGAGGCUCAGCCAAAGCCUGGACUUGAACCCGAUCGAACAUCUGGAGAGACUUUAAAAUAGCUGUACAGCGAUGCUCCCCAUCCAACCUGACAGAGCUUGAGAGGAUCUGCAGAGAAGAAUGUGAGGAACUCCCCAAAUGCAGGUGUACCAAGCUUGUAGCAUCAUACCCAAGAAGACCCGAUGCUGUAAUCGCUGCCAAAGGUGAUUUAAGAAAGUACAGAGUAAAGGGUCUGUAAAUGUGAUAUUUCCGGUUUUUAUUUUAAAUACAUUUGCAAAAUUUUCUAAAAACCUGUGUUUGCUUUGUCAUUAUGAGGUAUUGUGUGUAGAUUGAUGAGGGGGAGAAAAACAUUUUUUUUAAUAAAUUUUAAAACAAGGCUGUAAAACGUGGGGAAAGUCAAGGGGUCUGAAUACUUUCUGAAGGCCCUGUAUCUCUCUAUUAUGCCUGGGAUUACUUUGGAACAGAGUUCCAACAUUAAAAUCACUACGUGCUGAUUUGCUGGUGUUUUUUUACAGUAUUUUAUGUUCAACAGAAAACUUGAGGAGCCGCCAGUUGGGCAACCCUGGGUUAAUGGUUACUGAUGAAGACACAUUUCUGUCUGGUAUGGAUUAA
rnacentral:lncRNA from 8 species